rnacentral:sRNA from 1 species
UGGCAGUCACAACCCAUACUAUUCGGACAGAUGGCACAGAAACCGCUGCGCCUGUCGUAAAGGUAUCUUCACUGGAAGCUCGGGGCUGCAGAUUGUGUACCUCAGUGGGACAGAAUCCUUAAAUGAGCCAGUACCAGGUUAUAGUUUUAGUCCCAAGGAUGUGUCUUCUCUGAGAACGAUGCUGUGUACAACCUCCCAGUUUAAGGGUGUUGAUAUCUUGCUCACAUCCCCAUGGCCCAAGUAUGUGGGGAACUUUGGGAAUUCUUCUGGAGAAGUGGAUACCAAAAAAUGUGGUUCUGCUUUGGUUUCCAGUCUUGCCAUGGGCUUGAAACCAAGAUACCAUUUUGCUGCUUUGGAAAAGACCUAUUAUGAGAGGCUUCCAUAUCGAAACCAUAUCGUUCUACAGGAAAAUGCACAGCAUGCCACCCGGUUUAUAGCUCUGGCAAAUGUUGGAAAUCCAGAAAAGAAAAAGUAUCUUUACGCGUUCAGUAUUGUUCCCAUGAAGCUAAUGGAUGCAGCAGAACUGGUAAAACAGCCUCCGGAUGUCACUGAAAACCCUUACAGAAAAUCUGGGCAGGAAGCAUCCAUAGGAAAGCAAAUUCUUGCCCCUGUGGAAGAAUCAGCCUGUCAGUUUUUCUUUGAUUUAAAUGAAAAGCAGGGAAGGAAGCGUUCAUCCACAGGUAGAGAUAGCAAAUCUUCUCCUCAUCCAAAGCAGCCUCGCAAACCU